GCCUAGUUAGCUUGGAGUGUAGAGCGUGUGCCUUGUAAGCGCUAGGUCGCGGGUUCGAUUCCCGCCCGGAGCG
rnacentral:tRNA from 1 species